GGGGUUGUAGCUCAGUGGUAGAGCACCCGCCUAGCACUUGUGAGGCGCUGGGUUUGAUCCUCAACCCCU
rnacentral:tRNA from 1 species